GUGCUUUUGCUGCGUAAUCCGAUUUCUAGUAGGUCUUGUCUAUUAUAGCAUUGUAUUCAGAUAUUUCACUGCUUUUGUGAACCUAUGACCUUUUGGUAAACCAAUUUCAAAAACAAAAACAGUUCGUCCACAUGAGUAAAGGUGUGUUUUCAGAAGUGAUAUGAAGAAUAUUUUCUCUUUCCACUUGUACCUGAGGACAAUUGUGCCUCAUUAUAUAGAGAGCUGAGACAAUACGUCCAUUAUUUGUUUAAAACAAUUAGAAAUUAUUGAGCUUGAUUAUUUCGUUGGGUAAUAAUAUGUUUUGAAUGUUGAAAGUGAUUCCAUUGAUCUUUUUCCAGUAAAUGUUGAUUUCUUUAACUUUGCACCUUUAAUUGAAAUGUAUAAAAAUCAGACGCAAUCUCCAGGUUUAAUAAAUUACAUUGCGUGUCCAACAGCUCCUGGCCCGGCCCCUCUGUCAGAUUUUAGAACCGAUUGUGGCCCGCAAGUCAAAAAGUUUGCCCACCCCUGGACUAUGCGGUUCUAUGGACUUUGAGGGAUGGAAACCGGAAGUGUAAUGCUGUCACGUGACUGAGUUAGCUCUGCGCUAAAACCAAGUUUAUGUUGGCCUAAAUUGCCACCCUUAAAUAUGCCGAAUUAUCUGUAGGUGGUUCCUGAACGCAACGUACUUAUGGACGCCUGGUUUACUUUAAAAACGUAUGAAAUCCUAAAAGUGGUGAUGUUAUAAGGCGAGAUUUUGAGUUUCUAAGCUGAUUUACGGACGAUUGUUGCGAUAAGCGUCAAAGGUAAUAGUGCUAAAACAGUUUUUUAAGCAUUUGGGGACGAUGAUGUGUCAUCUGGAGGGGACAUAAGUCAUCAGUGAUUUAAACGGGUGGAUGUAACGAAGUGGAACUGACAGGAAGAAGCGAUUGGGUCCUCCGGACCAGUAAGCAGGUUGCACUGGCCCUGAUUAGGUGAUUUUCCGUGCUGGGAAAUCGGGAUAUUUUCUGUAUCUGCUGGGUUGCUCACUGCUUUUGAGGUUUAUCUUUUCUCUGUUGGCAGCUAUUUAUGAUUAAUUCUCUUUUCGUUUCAUUUAUUUUCUAUUUAGUGGUUCGCUGCCUUGGUUUUAUUGUUCUUUUUGUUUGCGGUGCCUGUCAUGGCCCACCGUCUGUGAACUCGUCCUGCUCGCGUUGGAACAGAAGGAGCGUUGUGAUUGGCUGAGAGGACGUUGGGGUAGUGUGACGUAGGUCGUAAACAAGGAAGUGGAACGUGAACCCGCUCGCCAACACAUUUCAGCGUGCGCCUCAACUUUGAUGAACACAUAGCGGAGACACUCACCAAGUGGUUGCGUGGCCGUGAACGGUGACGCGAGCAUGUCAUCCGGGUUCCCCACGCGGGACGGGGAGACUUCCGCGAUGUUUACGAGCCGGCGGAAGACUCCUUCCUCUUGAUCGACGCCCUGGAGAAGGAUGCAGAGCUGCUGCAGCACAUGAGCCCACACGUGUGUCUGGAGGUGGGCAGCGGCUCUGGAGUGGUGUCCGCUUUCCUGCCGUCGGUGGUCGGCCCUUCCACUCUCUAUCUGUGAGUUAGACAGACGUACCCACAUCCGCCUACUGGGCAAACACGGCUUGAAGGGGGAGACGCGCAUGUCGACGAGAGCUGGCAACGAGAGGCUGUCCAUCCUGCUCUUCAACAGGAGCUGACCUCGCAUCCCCUGAAAUGACAAAGGAAGGUUCCUCUGAAGAACAAACACUUAUUGUGCAAGGACUUUGGUGAAUUAGAAAAAUUAAAAAAAUGCCUCAUCGUUC